GACGAACGCUGGCGGCGUGCUUAACACAUGCAAGUCGAACGGAAAGGCCCCUUUGGGGGUACUCGAGUGGCGAACGGGUGAGUAACACGUGAGUAACCUGCCCUUGACUUCGGGAUAACUUCAGGAAACUGGGGCUAAUACCGGAUAGGAAUCCUUGCUGCAUGGUGGGGGUUGGAAAGCUUCGGCGGUUUUGGAUGGACUCGCGGCUUUUCAGCUUGUUGGUGGGGUAGUGGCUUACCCAGGCUUUGACGGGUAGCCGGCCUGAGAGGGCGACCGGCCACAUUGGGACUGAGAUACGGCCCAGACUCCUACGGGAGGCAGCAGUGGGGAAUAUUGCACAAUGGGCGGAAGCCUGAUGCAGCAACGCCGCGUGCGGGAUGACGGCCUUCGGGUUGUAAACCGCUUUCAGCAGGGGCGAAGCCUGUGGUGACGGUACCUGCAGAAGAAGCACCGGCUAACUACGUG
rnacentral:rRNA from 1 species